rnacentral:rRNA from 1 species
UACGUAGGGGGCAAGCGUUAUCCGGAUUUACUGGGUGUAAAGGGAGCGUAGACGGUUAUGCAAGUCAGAAGUGAAAGGCGGGGACUCAACCCCCGGACUGCUCUGGAAACUGUACGGCUGGAGUGCAGGAGAGGUAAGUGGAAUUCCUAGUGUAGCGGUGAAAUGCGUAGAUAUUAGGAGGAACACCAGUGGCGAAGGCGGCUUACUGGACUGUAACUGACGUUGAGGCUCGAAAGCGUGGGGAGCAAACAGG